rnacentral:rRNA from 1 species
UACGGGGGGUGCGAGCGUUGUCCGGAAUCACUGGGCGUAAAGGGCGCGUAGGUGGUCUGAUAAGGGUGUGGUGAAAGUCCGGGGCUCAACCCCGGAUCUGCCGUGCCGACUGUCAGACUCGAGGACUGUAGAGGCAGGCGGAAUUCCGGGUGUAGCGGUGGAAUGCGUAGAGAUCCGGAGGAAGACCAGAGGCGAAGGCGGCCGGCUGGGCUGUACCUGACGCUGAGGCGCGAAAGCGUGGGGAGCGAACCGG